rfam:Loxodonta africana unplaced genomic scaffold scaffold_4, whole genome shotgun sequence.
CCAGUAGCCCCUUUUUUUCCAGGCAAAGGGUGUGAACCCACCUGCGGAUGAGGCCUGCACUUGGGGAGACUGAACUUAGCUUCACAGAGCUGAUAGCUUUGGCCCAGGGUGGUAUGUACA